AACGUAGGGGGCCAGCGUUGCUCGGAAUUACUGGGCGUAAAGGGUCCGUAGGCGGUGUGGUAAGUCGGGAGUGAAAUCUCAGGGCUUAACCCUGAGGCUGCUUCCGAAACUGCCAUGCUCGAGUGCGAGAGAGGCGAGUGGAAUUGCAGGUGUAGCGGUGAAAUGCGUAGAUAUCUGCAGGAACACCCGAGGCGAAAGCGGCUCGCUGGAUCGCAACUGACGCUGAGGGACGAAAGCUAGGGGAGCAAACAGG
rnacentral:rRNA from 1 species